rnacentral:lncRNA from 1 species
AAGGAGAGCAUAGAUGCGGCUAUUGGAGAUGUUUUAUCAAAACCAUGGCUGCCACUUCCCCUUGGACUGAAACCUCCCGCUGUCGACAGUGUAUUGGGAGAAUUACAACGUCAAGGGAUACCUAAAAUACCACCAACUUGUGCAUAGAGUUAUUGAGGCAGUGCAGCUAGCAAAGCCGGUGGAAUUUUUUGGGGUUUUCUUACACAAGGGAACCCUUCAAUUCGACGACAUUUCCUGCACUUAGAGAUGCAUGAAGCUGAACUCGGGGGUCAUCAGCAUCAUCUAUAAUGCAGUUUUUCCUCAUAUAUCAGAAACCUUUUUUUGUUUCUUAGCUUUUGUUGUCCUACUUUGUUAUUGUUUAACUUACAGAUGGGGUUUGCACAUGCAUGAACUGAUAUAUAUCUUUUUGUCAUGAUGUAAUCACCGGUUUGAGAAUCUAAUAAUAGCGAGGGCUUCUUGUAAACUUGCUCCAAGGUUCUCUUCUUCAAUUCUACCUUUAUUUGUGCAUUGACUCUGAUACUAAUUAAUUGAAUAAUGCAUGCAAUCCUUUUGUUUUCUGAUCGAGUACCAAACUACACCCAAAUUCCUCAAGAAAUCUUACUAUACGAAAUAAAUAGGCGAAAUGGCUUCCUAGCCACUCAAAUUUGCAGCCGAUUUUGAAGCCGAUACACGAACUUUGCAUUUUCCCAUUUGAACAAUCAAACUCCUGAAACAUAUAACUAAUAAACACAUGUAAUUGUACGUGAUCUACAAGCGCUAUGACACAAAUGUCAUGUCACAUACCUAUCCUCUUAUUAAUUGCCACGUGUAAUUUAUGAGUCCCGCUUUUAAAAAAUUAAUUUACUCACAAAGUCAAAUUUAUGAUAGGAGUAGCAGACCACCAAAAUUAUUCCGGCGAAAUUUCUACCGGAAAAAUGGCAACCAUAUUUUUCACUUGAAUUUCAACCUUAGAUGGAACGGCGACGGGGCUGUUUUGGUCGUUUGACUGGUUAGCAAUGUUGUUGGAUGUUUGGGGUUGGUCGACGACGUGACAGUGGUGGUUGUCGAGCAGGAACGAGCAGCGGUUGGGCAGCUAUGUCGUUUGGACACUGGUUCGUGGUUUGUGUUCUAGGAAUAUUACACCCAAAUCUCUGUGAUCCAUUCUCUCUCGAUCUCGACAACGACGCUUCAACCAUUGACCUUAAAUACGGGGGCUGUUUGGUUCAUUGGUGGUUGGGCAGCUAUGUUGUUUGGAUAUUUUGGGGGUUGUUUGGGAAGCUGGUGGCGGGCAGCAGCUGGGGUGGAGGUCGUUUGGGCAGUGAAGGUCGACUGGUGUCUUUGGCGACGUGAAGAAGGAGGAUGACGAAAAGGGUGGGAAUCAAUUUUAUCUUUCUUUUUUUAUUUUAUAAUUUUUAAAUUAUAUUAACUCAUUCACGCGCCUAAGUAAUGUGAUUCACAUGCAUUUUGGCUACAUCAACUAUAUAGUCGCCAUGUAAGCGUGCACAAUUUUAGGAGUUUGACUGUUCAAAUGGAAAAAUGCAAAGUUGUGUAUCGGCAUUAAAAUCGGCUGCAAGUUUGAGUGGUCGAGAAACUAUUUCGCCAAAUAAAUAUUCAAGAAAAAGGCGAGAAAGAAUGCACAAGUUAAAAUAGCUAGAUUACUCCACGCAUGAAUAUGAAUAUCGGGUAAUUUGAGCUCAUAGUUGUCUUCCAAAUUAAGCCCACCAUAACUAACGCAAAAGUCAUUCACAUGGAGCUAUUAUGUUGCAUAGAAUCAACGUGGGAUAUAAAUUUUUUUUUUAAAAAUCUGGAUCCUUAGAAAAAAACAAGAACAAAAUACGGCUAGCUAGGGGACAUUUAGGUGGACUGUUGUAAUCAUGCAUCAUAUCACUCUUAGUUCGGAAGCAUGGGAAAAAAAAGGUUACUGUUCUCUCUCGUUAUUUACCCAAAACAGUUUUGUUUGUUCCUCCCACAAAAAAGGAUUUUGAUCAACAAUAGGCAAGAAGUUUAGUAGGUUUGUGGUUCUGUACGUGAUGGUCCUCCUAGUUAUAAUUAGUUCAAUCAGAACUGCAUGAUAUAUUACUUUUACAUGGAUCUAGAAUUUAAGUUUGAAGUAAGAUCUAACGAAAAGUCAAAAUAAAUUUAAGAGCGAGAUAUAUAUUCGUUCUUUUGCUCUUUUCUUGGCAAUUCUGAAAUGCUGCAGAACGUAUAAUAUAGUAAUGUGUAAGCAGUACUUCAGAAUGGCUAUAACAAUGACUACUGAUUAACAAGAGUUUAAGUUGUACUCUUGCACCUAAAGGCUAAGCACAAUAGUUAGCCUUUUUCAUCUUUUAGCAACAUUGACAUUAUGUGUUCUUUUUUAAUUUUAGAUAUAUAUUAAAACUAGCACUAGGCAUCUUGCCUAGUGUAUUUUACAAAAAAAAAAA